GUAGGAAGUUUGAACCCUGUCUUCCACCACACUGUGUUUUGAGGCUCCUUUUCUGCCCAGUGGAAAUGAUUAAUGGCAUUGUGCUUUGUUUUCUCUGAUGAUGCCAAGGAAUGAAUGUAGUGUCUAGUAUUAAAAUUAAGAUAUGGCAGUGAGGAGAGUCACCGGAGAAUUGUAAAUGAUAAAAGGGACUGAAAGUGCGAAUGGCACAAAUGAGGUGUGUGACCCAGAAAGCUGCAGUGACAUCCACUGUUGUUGCGUCGGCAGUGACAAAGAGGACAGAGUUCCCUGUGGGACAUGACUGCAUGGUGGCAGUUUCAUGAGCAGGAGCCUGGUGGAAAGGGGCCAGGUGGGGAAAAGUAGCUAAGAUGAAGCAUAGGCUUCCCUGGUGGCUCAGAUGGUAAAGAAUCUGCCUGCAGUGCAGGAGCUCCGGGUUCGAUCCCUGGGUCAGGAGGGAAGGCGAUGGCACCCUACUCCAGUAUUCUUGCCUGGAGAAUCCCAUGGACAGAGAAGCCUGGUGGGCUACAGUCUGUUGGGUUACUAAGAGUCAGGACACAAUUGAGCGACUAACACUUUCACACUUUCUCUUUCAUAAUAUAUGUGAGCAUGUUUCAAAGCUAUGCAUGUGCUACAGAAAUAUAAAUUAUUAUUGCUAAAUUAGAAAUGUUUAUCGUGGAAGCAUAUUUCCAUGAGAGCUAUUUUAUCACCAAUAGAGAAGUUGCAGAGUUCUGGAGACGUGUGAACCUCGCUGCUCCGUUGUUGAUAUGGGUUCAGCACGCUCGAAGGCUACAGCUCGGUGAAGUCAAACAAUAUCCUCAUCAAGAGAAAGAAGCAAAAGGGCAACUUCCAAAUAAAGCACAGCUGUGUCGGAGUGAAAAAUACCUUUAUAGGGGAAAAGAGAAUGUCAGGGUGUAGCGUGCCUCCUGGAGAAAAAGAAGGGCUUGAACUCUCAGGAAUGGGAUUACGUAACACACGGUCAGUUCUUCUGACCUUGAGAGUAAGGGAGAGUCCUUUCGAUUGUGGGUCAGAAAGAUCGUGGGUCUCAGGGUCUCUGCCCACUGCACCCCUCUCCCAAGCCCCCCAACUGCUGAAGGCCACGUGGAGCAGGAGGAUGGGGGAAGCACCAGCAGGUUGAGUGAUCCCAGCAAGUCCCCUCCUGCAUCCGGGAACCUGUGCAUUGCUGUCCGCUGCCGGGCGCAGCCCUUGUCCGCGGCGUCUGCCGGCGGGCAGGCGAUUUGGGCCCCGGGGGUGCGUUGCAGGACUUCAGUCAGUGCCCAGCUGCACACAGCAGCCCCCCGGGCAUCGUGAGUGCUUUACUGGGAGCUGAGCGCCUCCUGACCCACGGAUGCUCGCAUGCAGCCAUCGUGGACUGUCUGCUAGGCUGGCUUCUCUGUCUCCUUUCCUGGGAAUCACUGCAUCGCCCAGCUGCACCGAUCAUUAACAACUUCUUGAAGCGUGCAGCCCCAGCUCACUUCCCCUAGGCUCCAGGCAGUCGAGGCUUGCCCUAUUUGGCAGUCGCCUGAGUAGCUAUGAGCACUAGUGAUGUUAUUGGCCGAGGAGUUGAACAGAAGCUGAAUAAAGUUUGGCUCUGUGCAUCCUUCAGGGCACAGCUCCUGGUCCCGGGGUGGAAAAACAACAGAAAUGGGCCCCUGAACGUGUUCUCGAGCGGCACACACUGUGACUGGGCUUCGACCAUCCGCGCCUCCGCCCGACCCGGAGCUCCAGACUUGUGCUCCCGUCUCUUUGGUCUCCAAAUCUUAGCGUGAAAUAUUGAGUACCCUAGGAAAGCUAAAUUAAUGGUAGAAUAAGUAUCGUUUUGCAUGAUGAAAAGUAAGAGAAGAUAUCCUGCCUAACUUUCACAGUUGGCUAUCCCAAGUGCCUUUCCUUGGGACUGUAGGAUCCAAGUGAACGAGUGUCCCAGAUUCUUGACGUCUUCCUGGUGAACAUGGGUACCACUGGCUGACUCUUCUUGGAGAAGUUGGUAGUAUUUUACUCAUUGAGGCUGGGAAGUGACACAAAUUUGGCUUAAAGCAACGAGACCAUUGUGAACACUUAUAUCAUAUUACAAGCAUCCUGGGAGAUUCCGCAGACACUAAUGAGGAGAAAGAAGAGGCGCCGGAGUCCCUCUAGUUGAAUAGCCAGUAGAGUUGUAGCUGCAGCAUCUGAUGUGGUACCUAACACAAAGGAGAUGCCCGGUGAUUACCUGUUGAAUGAAUGGAUGGAUGAAUGGAUGCCCUUAAACGCAGUGCAGCUUGAUGAGCCUGAACCUCGGCUGGAUUCAGAUGCCAUCAAAGAAGCAUUUCUUACUGGUGGAAAGUAAACCUGACCUUGGAGACAAAGAGUCUGGCCUGGUCUCAGGGAGAGAAGCGUGACUUUGACUGCCGAUGUGUUAGCUCUUCUGAUUGGGACACGUCAGAGCAAGAGAAGAGCAUCUCUAGUUGAGCGUGGGAUCUUAGUUCUCUGACCAUAGUGAUCCCAUGCCCCCAGGAGUGGAAGUGCGGAGUUCUAACCACUGGACCACCAAGGAGUCCCUCUAUAUGAUGUCGAUUCUUUGGAAUUUAUUGUUUCUUGUGGCCUGUUACAUCAUCAUUUUUCAGGAGUGUUCUAAGCACAUUUCUCUCCUUCAUGCAAAGUCUUAUCUAAAGCUACUAGUUUCAGUUUAUUCGCUGUGUUAUUAUAUUCUAUUGUUUUGCUACUUUAUUGUCUGCGUGAUCCAUCAGUUUCCAAGAGUGUAAGUUAAUAUCAUAAUUACAAUUUUAGAUAUAUCCACUUGUCUCCUUAUUCUGAGACAAGAUUGUUA
ensembl:lncRNA